rnacentral:rRNA from 1 species
AUUGAACGCUGGCGGAAUGCUUUACACAUGCAAGUCGAGCGGCAGCGCGGGGCAACCUGGCGGCGAGCGGCGAACGGGUGAGUAAUACAUCGGAACGUGCCCAGACGUGGGGGAUAACUACUCGAAAGAGUGGCUAAUACCGCAUACGAACUGAGGUUGAAAGCAGGGGAUCGCAAGACCUUGCGCUGAUGGAUGAGCCGAAGUCGGAUUAGCUAGUUGGUGAGGUAAUGGCUCACCAAGGCUUCGAUCUGUAGCUGGUCUGAGAGGACGGCCAGCCACACUGGCACUGAGACACGGUCCAGACUCCUACGGGAGGCAGCAGUAAGGAAUAUUGCUCAAUGGGGGAAACCCUGAAGCAGCAACGCCGCGUGAAGGAUGAAAUACUUUUGUAUGUAAACUUCUGUAAGAUGGGAAAAAUAUCUCGCUCGGUGAGAUUGAUUGUACCAUCAGAGUA